rnacentral:rRNA from 1 species
CCUACGGGAGGCAGCAGUGGGGAAUAUUGGGCAAUGGGCGAAAGCCUGACCCAGCAACGCCGCGUGAAGGAAGAAGGCUUUCGGGUUGUAAACUUCUUUUGACAGGGAAGAGCAGAAGACGGUACCUGUCGAAUAAGCCACGGCUAACUACGUGCCAGCAGCCGCGGUAAUACGGAGGGUGCGAGCGUUAAUCGGAAUUACUGGGCGUAAAGCGCACGUAGGCCGUAUGUCAAGUCAAGGGUGAAAUCCCACGGCUCAACCGUGGAACUGCCUUUGAAACUGGCAAACUGGAGGAUGUGAGAGGGCGGCGGAAUUCCUGGUGUAGGAGUGAAAUCCGUAGAUAUCAGGAGGAACAUCAGUGGCGAAGGCGGCCGCCUGGCACAAAACUGACGCUGAGGUGCGAAAGCGUGGGUAGCAAACAGGAUUAGAUACCCCGGUAGUC